GUGGAAACAAACAUGUCUAUUCCAGGGAGAUCAGAGCGACCUGUGGGAUUAGAGGGUGAUGGCAUUUCAAACUUGUCGCGAAGAACAUCAAGGUCAGUGGAGCGAUUGACAGGGUUAAGCUUGGGAAUUUGAUCCAAUAUCCAGGAGAAGGCAAACCAUAUUUCACACACCACUGACAUAAGCCACAACCAUCUUGCAUCUUCAUUUGGAUUGUUAACUCUCCAAUUCAAGAAGAAUCCCAGAAUCACCAAUCGAACCGCGAUCAAUAACCUGCACAGUUAUCAUCUUCAUUUCAACAUUAUGGAGCAGAAAAG
rnacentral:misc_RNA from 1 species